AACUUAAUGAAUUGACGGGACCGCACAAGCGGUGGAUGAUGUGGAUUAAUUCGAUGCAACGCGAAAACCUUACCUACCCUUGACAUGUUCGGAAUUCCGCAGAGAUGUGGAAGUGCUCGAAAGAGAACCGGAACACAGGUGCUGCAUGGCUGUCGUCAGCUCGUGUCGUGAGAUGUUGGGUUAAGUCCCGCAACGAGCGCAACCCUUGUCAUUAGUUGCUACGAAAGGGCACUCUAAUGAAACUGCCGGUGACAAACCGGAGGAAGGUGGGGAUGACGUCAAGUCCUCAUGGCCCUUAUGGGUAGGGCUUCACACGUCAUACAAUGGUCGGUACAGAGGGCUGCCAACCCGUAAGGGGAGCCAAUCCUUUAAAACCGAUCGUAGUCCGGAUUGAGGUCUGCAACUCGACCUCAUGAAGUCGGAAUCGCUAGUAAUCGCGGAUCAGCAUGCCCGCGGUCGAAUACGUUCCGGGCCUU
rnacentral:rRNA from 1 species